rnacentral:rRNA from 1 species
GACGAACGCUGGCGGCGUGCUUAACACAUGCAAGUCGAACGGAAAGGCCUGCUUUCCCUUGUGGAUUGCGGGAACUCGAGUGGCGAACGGGUGAGUAACACGUGAGUGAUCUGCCCCCAACUUGGGUAUAAGCCUGGGAAACUGGGUCUAAUUCCCGAUAGGACUGCAGGGUGGUGCCUGUGGUGGAAAACGAUUUUCUAGUGGUUGGGGAUGAGCUCGCGGCCUAUCAGCUUGUUGGUGGGGUAAUGGCCUACCAAGGCGGCGACGGGUAGCCGGCCUGAGAGGGUGGACGGCCACAUUGGGACUGAGAUACGGCCCAGACUCCUACGGGAGGCAGCAGUGGGGAAUAUUGCACAAUGGGCGGAAGCCUGAUGCAGCGACGCCGCGUGGGGGAUGACGGCCUUCGGGUUGUAAACUCCUUUCGACCGCGAGGAAGCCACCUGGUUGGAAGGGUGGUGACGGUAGUGGUAGAAGAAGCACCGGCUAACUACGU